ACGGGGUGCAGCAGGCGCGAAAACUCCGCAAUACACGAAAGUGUGACGGGGGGACCCCAAGUGCUCUCGCGCAAGCGAGUGCUUUUGUGAAGUGUAAAUAGCUUCAAGAAUAAGAGCUGGGUAAGACCGGUGCCAGCCGCCGCGGUAACACCGGCAGCUCGAGUGGUGAUCACUAUUAUUGGGCCUAAAGCGUCCGUAGCCGGUUUGGUAAGUCCUUGGGCAAAUCCUGUCGCUUAACGGCAGGAAUUCUGAGGAUACUGUCAGACUUGAGGCCGAGAGAGGUCGGAGGUACUCCUGGGGUAGCGGUGAAAUGCUAUAAUCCUAGGGGGACCACCAGUGGCGAAAGCGUCCGACCAGAGCGGGCCUGACGGUAAGGGACGAAAGCCAGGGGAGCGAACGGGAUUAGAUACCCCGGUAGUCCUGGCCGUAAACGCUGUGGGCUAGGUGUUGCAUGCUCUACGAGGGCGUGCAGUGCCGUAGAGAAGUUGAUAAGCCUACCGCCUGGAAGUACUAUCGCAAGAU
rnacentral:rRNA from 1 species